rnacentral:lncRNA from 1 species
GUAGUAACUUUCAAUAAUAUUUUGGCUAAUGUUUUAAAUCUUCUUCUGUUGGUGUUGUUGUGUAUAGGCUCCUCCUCCUAAGAAAGUUGUUGCAGCUUCAGCUAAGAAUGGUGUAGCUGCUAAGAAGGAUGAGUCAAGUGAUGAUUCUAGUUCAGAGGAUGAUAGCAGCUCUGAGGAAGAUGUACCUGCAGCCAAGAAACCUGCUAAUGGCUCUGCUGCAGUUUCUAAGAAAGAUGAGUCUAGUUCAGAAGAUGAUAGCAGCUCUGAGGAAGAUGUACCUGCAGCCAAGAAACCUGCUGCUAAUGGCUCUGCUGCAGUUUCUAAGAAAGAUGAGUCAAGUGAUGAGUCUAGUUCUGAAGAU